AGAGUUUGAUCCUGGCUCAGGAUGAACGCUGGCGGCGUGCCUAAUACAUGCAAGUCGAACGAGAAGGGAUGUUUUCGAAUAUCCUGGAGAGUGGCGCACGGGUGAGUAACACGUAGCUGACCUGCCCUUUGCCGGGGGAUAACGGCCCGAAAGGGCUGCUAAUACCGCAUAAGGUCGUCGGGCUUAGAGACCCGACGGGCAAAACUUCGGUGGCAAAGGAGGGGGCUGCGGUCCAUCAGCUGGCUGGUGAGGUAAAGGCUCACCAGGGCGAUGACGGAUAGGGGGCCUGAGAGGGUGACCCCCCACACUGGGACUGAGACACGGCCCAGACUCCUGCGGGAGGCAGCAGUAAGGAAUAUUGCGCAAUGGACGGAAGUCUGACGCAGCAACGCCGCGUGGAGGAAGAAGGUUUUCGGAUCGUAAACUCCUUUUCUGUGUGAAGAGAGAAGGACGGUAGCACAGGAAUAAGUCUCGGCUAACUACGUGCCAGCAGCCGCGGUAAAACGUAGGAGGCAAGCGUUAUCCGGAUUUACUGGGCGUAAAGCGCGUGCAGGCGGUGGCUUAAGUCGAGCGUGAAAGCUCCCAGGCUCAACCGGGAGAGGACGUGCGAAACUGGGUCACUGGAGACAGAUAGAGGCAGGUAGAAUUCCGGGUGUAGUGGUGAAAUGCGUAGAUAUCCGGAGGAAUACCGGUGGCGAAGGCGACCUGCCAGGUCUGUUCUGACGCUCAGACGCGAAAGCAUGGGGAGCGAACGGGAUUAGAAACCCCGGUAGUCCAUGCCGUAAACGAUGCAGACCAGACGUUGGUGCCCGCGGGUAUCAGUGUUGCAGCAAACGCGAUGAGUCUGCCGCCUGGGGAGUACGGUCGCAAGGCUAAAACUCAAAGGAAUUGACGGGGGCCCGCACAAGCAGCGGAGCGUGUGGUUUAAUUCGAGCCUACGCGAAGAACCUUACCCGGGCUGGACACAGGUGUGGUAGAGACCCGAAAGGGGAUCGACCUUCGGGAGCACCUGCAGGUGCUGCAUGGCUGUCGUCAGCUCGUGUCGUGAGAUGUUCGGUUAAGUCCGAUAACGAGCGCAACCCUCGCUGUCAGUUACAAGUGUCUGGCAGGACUGCCCGGGGCAACCGGGAGGAAGGUGGGGAUGACGUCAAGUCAGCAUGGCCUUUAUGUCCGGGGCGACACACACGCUACAAUGGCCGGGACCAAUGGGUCGCGAAGUCGCGAGACGGAGCCAAUCCAUCAAAACCGGUCACAGUUCGGAUUGCAGGCUGCAACUCGCCUGCAUGAAGUCGGAGUUGCUAGUAAACGCACGUCAGCACAGUGCGUUGAAUACGUUCCCGGGCCUUGUACACACCGCCCGUCACGUCAUGGAAGUCGGUCACGCCUGAAGUCGGUGGGCUAACCGCAAGGAGGCAACCGCCAAAGGCAGGGCUGGUGACCGGGACGAAGUCGUAACAAGGUA
rnacentral:rRNA from 1 species